rnacentral:rRNA from 1 species
UGGGGAAUUUUGGACAAUGGGGGAAACCCUGAUCCAGCCAUCCCGCGUGUGCGAUGAAGGCCUUCGGGUUGUAAAGCACUUUUGGUAGGAAAGAAACGUCAUGGGUUAAUACCCCGUGAAACUGACGGUACCUGCAGAAUAAGCACCGGCUAACUACGUGCCAGCAGCCGCGGUAAUACGUAGGGUGCAAGCGUUAAUCGGAAUUACUGGGCGUAAAGCGUGCGCAGGCGGUUCGGAAAGAAAGAUGUGAAAUCCCAGAGCUCAACUUUGGAACUGCAUUUUUAACUACCGGGCUAGAGUGUGUCAGAGGGAGGUGGAAUUCCGCGGGUAGCAGUGAAAUGCGUAGAUAUGCGGAGGAACACCGAUGGCGAAGGCAGCCUCCUGGGAUAACACUGACGCUCAUGCACGAAAGCGUGGGGAGCAAACAGG